UACGUAGGGUGCAAGCGUUGUCCGGAAUCAUUGGGCGUAAAGCGCGCGUAGGCGGCCCGAUAAGUCCGCUGUAAAAGUCAACGGCUCAACUGUUGAAAGCCGGUGGAUACUGUCGGGCUAGAGUACGGAAGAGGCAAGUGGAAUUCCUGGUGUAGCGGUGGAAUGCGCAGAUAUCAGGAGGAACACCGGUGGCGAAGGCGGAUCUCUGGGCCUUACCUGACGCUGAGGCGCGAAAGCUAGGGGAGCAAACAGG
rnacentral:rRNA from 1 species